AUGACUCUUCAAUCUCCUCCACCUCUCUCAAAUGGACCUCCAACAUUAUCAACAUCCAACCUCUUCCGAUCUCAGUCCAUGCAACCGCCACUAUUACUCCCUCUCACUGCAACAUCUACUCACCGAACACACCAUCCAUCUUCAUCGUUGCAAAAUCCCUCUAUCAUCUAUUCUCCAGUCCGCUCAACAACACUAGCCACUCCACCAUCUUCACCUCGUCAUCCCCAGGACAGCGCACUAGCCACCCACCGCCCUCCGUUCACAACAACACUGACAACCUGUUCCACCCGCAAAACUCAUGCGAUCCCUCCAAUCUCCAACCAUGCCACUUCGCGAGCCUUUGUAUAG